rnacentral:rRNA from 1 species
UACGUAGGGAGCAAGCGUUGUUCGGAUUUACUGGGCGUAAAGGGCGCGUAGGUGGCGCGACAAGUCAGUGGUGAAAGUUCGACGCUCAACGUCGAAUCGGCCACUGAUACUGUUGGGCUUGAGCACUGUAGAGGCUAAUGGAAUUCCGGGUGUAGCGGUGGAAUGCGUAGAGAUCCGGAAGAACACCGGUGGCGAAGGCGGUUAGCUGGGCAGUUGCUGACACUGAGGCGCGACAGCGUGGGGAGCAAACAGG